rnacentral:rRNA from 1 species
AUUGAACGCUGGCGGCAGGCCUAACACAUGCAAGUCGAACGAGUGGCGGACGGGUGAGUAAUGUCUGGGAAACUGCCUGAUGGAGGGGGAUAACUACUGGAAACGGUAGCUAAUACCGCAUACCAUCGGAUGUGCCCAUAUGGGAUUAGCUAGUAGGUGGGGUAAAGGCUCACCUAGGCGACGAUCCCUAGCUGGUCUGAGAGGAUGACCAGCAACACUGGAACUGAGACACGGCCCAGACUCCUACGGGAGGCAGCAGUGGGGAAUAUUGCACAAUGGGGGCAACCCUGACGCAGCCAUGCCGCGUGGAUGAAGAAGGCCUUCGGGUUGUAAAGUACUUUCGGUGGCGAGGCGUUACCUACAGAAGAAGCACCGGCUAACUCCGUGCCAGCAGCCGCGGUAAUUC